rnacentral:rRNA from 1 species
UGUGGUGAUUAAAGCAAGAAGGACCCACCUGUUCCCAUGCCGAACACAGUCGUUAAGCUUCUUAGCGCCGAUGGUAAUGAAGACGUU